UCAGGAUGAUUAUCCCAGACAAAAUUUGAAAGUCAGGGGCAAUGUACGGCUCAGAUCCAAAACAGUUUUCAAUUUUGGACAUAGAAUUAAGGCUAUAACAGUUUCUGCAAAUGAAGGUUUUGUCAGAGCGGCAAUGCAACAGGGUGUAAAUUAUGCUGCUUUCAUUCAUGAAUCAAGAGCUUUAACAGAAGGCAAAGAAGCUAGUGCAACAAAAAUUUUAUGAUGUUUUUCUCGUCUAGGCUUCGCUAUGGUUUGGCAACAUGACGCAGAUUCGAAUCCCGUCGUGUGACAAUUUUUUUUUCAAAUGGAAAAUUUCUCAUUUUAAAAAACAUUAUGUAUACUAGAAACUUUAUUCUAAACCCCGUUAAGAAAUUCGAAUGUAUAUUUUCAGCAAACUAAAGGGUUAUAUAUAUACAAAAUGAAACC